AUACAGAUGAAGGCGAAGAAGGAAGUUCUCACCCACCCCAAAGCCAAAGCAAAGGCCUUGAAAGCUAAGAAGACAGAGCUGGAAGGCGUCCACAGCUACAAGAAAACAAAACACCCACCUUCUAGUGACCCUAACCCUGAAGCUCCAGAGGCAGCACAAAUAAUGCUGACAGGAACACACCCGGGAGAAGACACUUGACCACUAUGCGGUUAUCAAAACACCCAGAUCACUGAUCAGCCAUGCAGAGAAGGGAAGACAGCAAGCUUGUGUUCUUUGUGGAUGUCAAGGCCAACAACAACCUGACCAGACAGGCUGUUGAAACCCUAUGGCACUGAUGUGACCAAAGUCAAUAUUCUGAUAAGGCCUGACAGAGAGAAGAUGAUGUAUGUUUGCUUGGCUCCUGAUUGUUGUGCAGUAGAUGUUGCCAAGAAAAUUGGGAUCAUCUAU
rnacentral:lncRNA from 1 species